CAGACGUUACAACCGGAGUACGUCUUUCAGGUUGGACCAAUUCUCCCUUGGAUCCAGACUUUGAUUCUGGCUCAGGAUGAACGCUAGCUACAGGCUUAACACAUGCAAGUCGAGGGGAAACGACAUCGAAAGCUUGCUUUUGAUGGGCGUCGACCGGCGCACGGGUGGAGUAACGCGUAUCCAACCUGCCCAUCACUUGGGGAUAACCUUGCGAAAGUAAGACUAAUACCCAAUGACGUCUCUAGAAGACAUCUGAAAGAGAUUAAAGAUUUAUCGGUGAUGGAUGGGGAUGCGUCUGAUCAGCUUGUUGGCGGGGUAACGGCCCACCAAGGCAACGAUCAGUAGGGGUUCUGAGAGGAAGGUCCCCCACAUUGGAACUGAGACACGGUCCAAACUCCUACGGGAGGCAGCAGUGAGGAAUAUUGGUCAAUGGGCGAGAGCCUGAACCAGCCAAGUAGCGUGCAGGAUGACGGCCCUAUGGGUUGUAAACUGCUUUUAUAAGGGAAUAAAGUGAGUCUCGUGAGACUUUUUGCAUGUACCUUAUGAAUAAGGACCGGCUAAUUCCGUGCCAGCAGCCGCGGUAAUACGGAAGGUCCGGGCGUUAUCCGGAUUUAUUGGGUUUAAAGGGAGCGUAGGCCGGAGAUUAAGCGUGUUGUGAAAUGUAGACGCUCAACGUCUGCACUGCGGCGCGAACUGGUUUCCCUGAGUACGCACAAAGUGGGCGGAAUUCGUGGUGUAGCGGUGAAAUGCUUAGAUAUCACGAAGAACUCCGAUUGCGAAGGCAGCUCACUGGGAGCGCAACUGACGCUGAAGCUCGAAAGUGCGGGUAUCGAACAGGAUUAGAUACCCUGGUAGUCCGCACGGUAAACGAUGGAUGCCCGCUGUUGGUCUGAAUAGGUCAGCGGCCAAGCGAAAGCAUUAAGCAUCCCACCUGGGGAGUACGCCGGCAACGGUGAAACUCAAAUGGCAUUGGACCGGAAGGGCGAUCGCGGCCGCUUAGCU
rnacentral:rRNA from 1 species